CCUACGGGAGGCUGCAGUGAGGAAUAUUGGUCAAUGGACGAGAGUCUGAACCAGCCAAGUAGCGUGAAGGAUGACUGCCCUAUGGGUUGUAAACUUCUUUUAUAUGGGAAUAAAAUGUUCCACGUGUGGGUUUUUGUAUGUACCAUAUGAAUAAGGAUCGGCUAACUCCGUGCCAGCAGCCGCGGUAAUACGGAGGAUCCGAGCGUUAUCCGGAUUUAUUGGGUUUAAAGGGAGCGUAGGUUGAUUGUUAAGUCAGUUGUGAAAGUUUGCGGCUCAACCGUAAAAUUGCAGUUGAAACUGGCAGUCUUGAGUACAGUAGAGGUGGGCGGAAGUCGUGGUGUAGCGGUGAAAUGCUUAGAUAUCACGAAGAACGCCGAUUGCGAAGGCAGCUCACUGGACUGCAACUGACACUGAGGCUCGAAAGUGUGGGUAUCAAACAGGAUUAGAUACCCCUGUAGUC
rnacentral:rRNA from 1 species